rnacentral:rRNA from 1 species
GACGAACGCUGGCGGCGUGCUUAACACAUGCAAGUCGAGCGGUAAGGCCUUUCGGGGUCCACGAGCGGCGAACGGGUGAGUAACACGUGGGUGAUCUGCCCUGCACUUCGGGAUAAGCCUGGGAAACUGGGUCUAAUACCGGAUAUGACCUCCUAUCGCAUGGUGGGUGGUGGAAAGAUUUAUCGGUGCAGGAUGGGCCCGCGGCCUAUCAGCUUGUUGGUGGGGUAAUGGCCUACCAAGGCGACGACGGGUAGCCGACCUGAGAGGGUGACCGGCCACACUGGGACUGAGACACGGCCCAGGCUCCUACGGGAGGCAGCAGUGGGGAAUAUUGCACAAUGGGCGAAAGCCUGAUGCAGCGACGCCGCGUGAGGGAUGACGGCCUUCGGGUUGUAAACCUCUUUCAGCAGGGACGAAGCGCAAGUGACGGUACCUGCAGAAGAAGCACCGGCUAACUACGUG